AGGAUUCCCUAGUAACGGCGAGUGAAGAGGGAAAAGCCCAGCACCGAAGCCUGCGCAGUUUUGCUGUUAGGCAAUGUGGUGUUUGGGUCGGCUCGUGGGAUUGCCACUCCACUCCAAGUCCAGCAUUGAGUAUGGUUUACUGGAUUUGGCCCAGAGAGGGUGAAAGGCCCGUAGGUGGAGUAUCAGAAAUGUAAGGCAGUUCACCAGGUCGACCUUAGAGUCGGGUUGUUUGGGAAUGCAGCCCAAAGCGGGUGGUAAACUCCAUCCAAGGCUAAAUACAAGCACGAGUCCGAUAGCGAACAAGUACCGUGAGGGAAAGUUGAAAAGUACUCUGAAGAGAGAGUAAACAGUACGUGAAACCGCAUGCAGGUAAACGGGUGGCGUCAAGCUGCAGGCCCAGAGGAUUCAGUCGACUAGGUUGUAGUGUAUGUGCCUGGCGCAUCCAUCAGUCAGAGUGUGAUUGAGUAGUCCAUGGGUAAACCGUGGGCCUGGCCGCAAGGUCGGGAUGUGUGUACCGGAUGGGUGCCGGAGCAUGCUACUCGUCUGUGGACUGUCUAGUCGGUGCACUUUCUCUGUGGUCAACACCACGACCGGUGGUAUUGCCAGUCUGCUGUGCUCAAGUUGUGCUCGGUUGGUCCUUGUGGCUAGCUGGGUGCGAUCACAGGCAAACUCAGUGAACGGCGCGGGGGUGCCUCGGUAUCUUCGCGUGUUAUCGGCCACUGGUUGUCAACAGGCCUGCCCGGUGUUUGUUGUAACCGGCAUUGGGUGGUCUGGUGGAGCACGGUGGUAAGAAUAACUGUGCAAGGCACCGGAGUUGUCGGCCUCAAAUGCGUCCUGCACACACGUUACAAGUGGUGCUUAGUGGCGGUGUCGUGGCCAUCUGCCUGGUGUUGGGUGUGAUUGGCGUGUCCUGCGAAAAGCGGGCCGCCAGUGGCUCGAUUCAGGAUGGGUGGUUUGCGGCGCUGUCGGUGUGGGACGUGGUGGGCCCAAUAGUCAGUGGU
rnacentral:rRNA from 1 species